UACGUAGGGUGCAAGCGUUAAUCGGAAUUACUGGGCGUAAAGCGUGCGCAGGCGGUUUUUGUAAGUCUGUCGUGAAAGCCCCGGGCUCAACCUGGGAAUUGCGAUGGAGACUGCAAGGCUUGAAUCUGGCAGAGGGGGGGUAGAAUUCCACGUGUAGCAGUGAAAUGCGUAGAGAUGCGGAGGAACACCGAUGGCGAAGGCAGCCCCCCUGGGCUGACACUGACGCUCAGGCACGAAAGCGUGGGGAGCAAACAGG
rnacentral:rRNA from 1 species